UUGGUUAAGUUAGAAAGGGCGCACGGUGGAUGCCUUGGCACUAGGAGCCGAAGAAGGACGGGACUAACACCGAUAUGCUUUGGGGAGCUGUACGUAAGCGUUGAUCCAGAGAUUUCCGAAUGGGGGAACCCACUAUCUUUAGUCGGAUAGUAUCCUUACGUGAAUACAUAGCGUAAGGAAGGCAGACCCAGGGAACUGAAACAUCUAAGUACCUGGAGGAAGAGAAAGAAAAAUCGAUUUCCUGAGUAGCGGCGAGCGAAACGGAAAGAGCCCAAACCAAGAAGCUUGCUUCUUGGGGUUGUAGGACACUCUAUACGGAGUUACAAAAGAAAGUUAUAAAUGAAGCGGUCUGGAAAGGCCCGCCAAAGACGGUAACAGCCCGGUAGUUGAAAUGGCUUUCCCUCCAGAGUGGAUCCUGAGUACGGCGGAACACGUGAAAUUCCGUCGGAAUCCGGGAGGACCAUCUCCCAAGGCUAAAUACUCCCUAGUGACCGAUAGUGAACCAGUACCGUGAGGGAAAGGUGAAAAGCACCCCGGAAGGGGAGUGAAACAGUUCCUGAAACCGUGUGCCUACAAGUAGUUAGAGCCCGUUAAUGGGUGAUAGCGUGCCUUUUGUAGAAUGAACCGGCGAGUUACGAUUUGUUGCAAGGUUAAGCGGAAAAAGCGGAGCCGUAGCGAAAGCGAGUCUGAAUAGGGCGCAUAAGUAACAGGUCGUAGACCCGAAACCAGGUGAUCUACCCAUGUCCAGGAUGAAGGUAAGGUAAUACUUACUGGAGGUCCGAACCCACGCACGUUGAAAAGUGCGGGGAUGAGGUGUGGGUAGCGGAGAAAUUCCAAUCGAACUUGGAGAUAGCUGGUUCUCUCCGAAAUAGCUUUAGGGCUAGCCUCGAGGUAAAGAGUCAUGGAGGUAGAGCACUGUUUGGACUAGGGGCCCUUCUCGGGUUACCGAAUUCAGAUAAACUCCGAAUGCCAUGUACUUAUACUCGGGAGUCAGACUGCGAGUGAUAAGAUCCGUAGUCGAAAGGGAAACAGCCCAGACCACCAGUUAAGGUCCCCAAAUAUAUGUUAAGUGGAAAAGGAUGUGGGGUUGCUUAGACAACCAGGAUGUUGGCUUAGAAGCAGCCACCAUUGAAAGAGUGCGUAAUAGCUCACUGGUCGAGUGACCCCGCGCCGAAAAUGUACCGGGGCUAAACAUAUUACCGAAACUGUGGAUGAACCUCUUCGGAGGUUCGUGGUAGGAGAGCGUUCUAAGGGCGGUGAAGUCAGACCGGAAGGACUGGUGGAGCGCUUAGAAGUGAGAAUGCCGGUAUGAGUAGCGAAAGAAGGGUGAGAAUCCCUUCCACCGAAUAUCUAAGGUUUCCUGAGGAAGGCUCGUCCGCUCAGGGUUAGUCGGGACCUAAGCCGAGGCCGAUAGGCGUAGGCGAUGGACAACAGGUAGAGAUUCCUGUACCAGUGCUAAUUGUUUAACCGAUGGGGUGACACAGAAGGAUAGGGAAUCGCACGAAUGGAAAUGUGCGUCCAA
rnacentral:rRNA from 1 species